rnacentral:rRNA from 1 species
CAGCAGCCACGGUAAUACAGAGGGUGCGAGCGUUAAUCGGAUUUACUGGGCGUAAAGCGUGCGUAGGCGGCUUCUUAAGUCGGAUGUGAAAUCCCUGAGCUUAACUUAGGAAUUGCAUUCGAUACUGGGAAGCUAGAGUAUGGGAGAGGAUGGUAGAAUUCCAGGUGUAGCGGUGAAAUGCGUAGAGAUCUGGAGGAAUACCGAUGGCGAAGGCAGCCAUCUGGCCUAAUACUGACGCUGAGGUACGAAAGCAUGGGGAGCAAACAGGAUUAGAUACCCCCGUAGUCCCUGUCUCUUUACA